rnacentral:rRNA from 1 species
UGAAGCUGGAAUUGCUAGUAAUGGCAGGUCAGCAUACUGCCGUGAAUACGUUCCCGGGCCCUGUACACACCGCCCGUCACACCAUGAGAGUUGGGAAUACCCGAAGCCUGUGAGCUAACUUAUAGAGGCAGCAGUCGAAGGUAGAAUCAAUGAUUGGGGGUGAAGUCGUAACAAGGUAAC